rnacentral:tRNA from 2 species
GUCAGUUUGGCCGAGUGGUUAAGGCGAUAGACUCGAAAUCUAUUGGGCUCUGCCCGCGUCGGUUCAAAUCCGACAGCUGACG